GGGGGGGGGGGGGCUUAUCAUGCAGUCGAGCGCGGGAAGCGAGCUGAAGCCCUUCGGGGUGGACGCUCGUGGAACGAGCGGCGGACGGGUGAGUAACACGUGGGCAACCUACCUGUAAGACCGGAAUAACCCCGGGAAACCGGGGCUAAUGCCGGGUAACCGUUCGGUUCUCCUGAACCGAACGUAAAAGGAUGGCUUCUUGCUAUCGCUUACAGAUGGGCCCGCGGCGCAUUAGCUAGUUGGUAAGGUAACGGCUUACCAAGGCGACGAUGCGUAGCCGACCUGAGAGGGUGAUCGGCCACACUGGGACUGAGACACGGCCCAGACUCCUACGGGAGGCAGCAGUAGGGAAUCUUCCGCAAUGGACGAAAGUCUGACGGAGCAACGCCGCGUGAACGAUGAAGGCUUUCGGGUCGUAAAGUUCUGUUGUGAGGGAAGAACAAGGAUCGUGCGAACAGAGCGGUCCCUUGACGGUACCUCACGAGGAAGCCCCGGCUAACUACGUGCCAGCAGCCGCGGUAAUACGUAGGGGGCAAGCGUUGUCCGGAAUUAUUGGGCGUAAAGCGCACGCAGGCGGUUCCUUAAGUCUGAUGUGAAAGCCCGUGGCUCAACCACGGAGGGCCAUUGGAAACUGGGGAACUUGAGAACUGAAGAGGAGAGUGGAAUUCCACGUGUAGCGGUGAAAUGCGUAGAUAUGUGGAGGAACACCAGUGGCGAAGGCGACUCUCUGGUCGGUUUCUGACGCUGAGGUGCGAAAGCGUGGGUAGCAAACAGGAUUAGAUACCCUGGUAGUCCACGCCGUAAACGAUGAGUGCUAGGUGUUAGGGGGCUUCCACCCCUUAGUGCUGAAGUUAACGCAUUAAGCACUCCGCCUGGGGAGUACGGCCGCAAGGCUGAACUCAAGGAAUUGACGGGGGCCCGCACAAGCGGUGGAGCAUGUGGUUUAAUUCGAAGCAACGCGAGAACCUUACCAGUCUUGACAUCCUUGGCUACUUCUAGAGAUAGAGUUCCCUUCGGGGACCAAGUGACAGGUGGUGCAUGGUUGUCGUCAGCUCGUGU
rnacentral:rRNA from 1 species